GCAUUAAUGGGGUAGUGGUAACCUGGGUCGUUGCCAUGUUUUGUCGAACGCAAUGUUUCGACCCGCCGGGGGUUCGAUUCCCCCUUAAUGCA